UAACGGAAUGUUUAUAAAUUAUAAACUUUGGAAAACACAUUGACCAAUUUAGCUAAAUUUUUUUCUCAGUGACCAAAUUGAAUUUCCAUGUAAAACUUAGUGACCAAAAAUGUAUUUAAUCCUUUUUCUUUUUCCUAGUUGUUGAUGAAAACGUCCUCAACCACACAUUUUUCACUUGUCGUAAAGUUUCACUUUUCUUCUCUCAAUUUUUAAAAACUUUG
rnacentral:lncRNA from 1 species